UUGCUUUGGCAGCACAGACACUAAAAUUGGAACGAUACAGAGAAGAUUAGGAUGACACACAAAUUCAUGAAGUGUUCCACAAAAAAAUCUUUUU
ensembl:snRNA U6 U6 spliceosomal RNA